GUCGAGUGGGGACACUUUUCAAUAUUGGUCCCUUUGACAUGGAAUGACCCUAUUCUCCCUUUGUUGGGAUGGGUUUUUCAGGCUCUUUUCAACCACCUCCUUAUUUGUAUCAGGAAAGAUCCCUAAUAACCAUGCUCUAUUCCUACCUUCAUUAUAUAAAAGAAAUUCUUGUUCCAUAUCCUCUCUUGUAAUACAGUAUGUUGGUGCUCUCUUAAAGAAGCUUUUAAACACCACUCCUCUUUUAUAAUUAAUGGGAUCACUUGAUCAGUUCAGGAUGAGUAGUGGUUUGUAUGUUGGCUUUCUAUAAACCUUAGAUUUUAGUAAACCUUGUAUGAUGGUUUAGCUAAAAUCUAACAUAAUUUAAUCAUCAGCCAAAUGACCAUGUUAGAAACAGGUUGUGCAUUCUAAAAUUUUUUUUUAAGUUAAGAGCAAUUUCCUAAAAUAUAAGUUGGUAUACUUUUUUAGAAUUAAAAUCAAACAGAGAUUUUUUAAAAGACAAAUUCAUUGGACCCUGUUAGGGCAAAACAAACUGUGCAAAAAGAAAAUUGAAAUUUUUUCUAGACUGUGUUAAAAUAAAAUAAUGUAAAAAAAUUCCAUAUAAAAACAAUUAAAUGUAUUUGAAUAUACUUAAAAUUUAUGGGAUAAAAGAAUACUAAAAUCAUAAUGUAAAACUCCUUAUUGUAAAUAUUAAAUAAAAAUAAACUAUAAUCCAAAUAAAUAAGAUAAACUGUUUAUUCAAAAAGGGCUAUCCAUGUGUUUCAGUUGAAAUACAAACCAAAAAAGGGCUGAAGGGAAACUUUUUUGAUCUGUAUUUCAACUGAAGUAGGCUGUGCAUAGCUGAAAUUGUUUUUGAAUAAACAGUUUAUAUUGAUUAUUUGGCUUAUAGCUUAUUUUUUAUUUAGUACUUUAUUUAAUACUACAACUCAUUUGAAAUUUUUUUUAUAAAUAUUAAAUAAACUCCACAUUAUUAAAAUUUGAACUGGCG
rnacentral:lncRNA from 1 species